UGUGCUAUGAUUGUGCCAGUGAAUAGCCA
rnacentral:piRNA from 1 species